AGAUGAUGGACCUCACCAUGGCCAUGAUUUCUGCAGUCGAGGCCUCGGACGGCUCUUCAGGACGCCCCUGCUCUGCCGGCUCAGCCAGGCGCUGUCCAAAUCCCCCCUGUGAAGAAAUGGAGGUGGCCUUCCCUUGCACACCACCACCAGCAAGAUGAGGACCACGCCCUUGCGUUGGAUGCCCUGCUGGAGGUGGUGUGCAGGCGAGACGGCGGCUUUCUCCUGGGUGGGAGCAGAUGCCUGGCCCAGGAUCGAAUAAAAAAGCUUAGGCUGAGGCUCACUGCCCCCCAGUUGGGCAGUGAGUUGGUGGGCUCUACUUGCCAAGGCGAGGCCCGGCCCUGGCCUGCAUGGAUGGCACACCUGCCCAGAGUGUUGCAGGGCCCACCUAGGCUGACCUCAUGGCAGACCAGAAAGUGUAUCAUCGUGUACAUUUCCUUUUGUGCAGCUUGUGUUUCUUCCCCCCAAGAAUCUGCUUGGAGAUGAUAAUAAAGAUCAACACCUUAGCAUCCUGUAAUCAGUACCCACUGGAGUUUAUUUAACCCCUUGACUCUGUUACAAAAGCCCCGGGUCCUCACCCCGUGGGCACACAUCGUGAAAGCAGAUGAAAGUAACUGUUUUUAAGAUCUGGUUUUGAGGGGUGGGCUCAUGAAUGUUUAUAACAUUAUUACAAACAACGAGUGUAUGAAUGCAUAAAUUAGCAAUAUGAAAGAAGGAAAUGCCUGGGCCAAUGAUGAGAAUGUGUUGAUGAAUAAAGGAUCAUGUUUAAUCCUGAGGUCCAUUAAAAGACAAUAGGUCUUGCUGUUUCGUUCUUUUUAAGAGCUGUUUGAUAUUCUGGGGUAUAUAGGCAUCGUUGUUAGACCUUCAUGUAUUGUUGAAAAUCUCAGCUGUAAGUGUGCUGGGUGGGGGUGAAUGUGCAGAUAGAAGCUGUGGUCAAAGUCCCAAUUGUCGGGGUUGGGGGUCAGGGGACCAUGGGAGCUUGUUGUAUUAUUGA